rnacentral:rRNA from 1 species
CCUACGGGUGGCAGCAGUGGGGAAUAUUGCACAAUGGGGGAAACCCUGAUGCAGCGACGCCGCGUGAGUGAAGAAGUAAUUCGUUAUGUAAAGCUCUAUCAGCAGGGAAGAAAAUGACGGUACCUGAGUAAGAAGCACCGGCUAACUACGUGCCAGCAGCCGCGGUAAUAAGUAGGGGGCAAGCGUUAUCCGGAUUUACUGGGUGUAAAGGGAGCGUAGACGGCAGUGCAAGUCUGGAGUGAAAGGCGGGGGCUCAACCCCCGGACUGCUCUGGAAACUGUACGGCUGGAGUGCAGGAGAGGUAAGUGGAAUUCGUGGUGUAGCGGUGAAAUGCGUAGAUAUUAGGAGGAACACCAGUGGCGAAGGCGGCUUACUGGACUGUAACUGACGUUGAGGCUCGAAAGCGUGGGGAGCAAACAGGAUUAGAUACCCCGGUAGUC